UACGAAGGGGGCUAGCGUUGUUCGGAAUUACUGGGCGUAAAGCGCGCGCAGGCGGCUAUCCAAGUCAGUGGUGAAAGCCCGGAGCUCAACUCCGGAACUGCCAUUGAAACUGUUUAGCUUGAGGAUGAGAGGGGUGAGUGGAAUUCCCAGUGUAGAGGUGAAAUUCGUAGAUAUUCGCAAGAACACUAGUGGCGAAGGCGGCUCACUGGCCCGGUACUGACGCUGAGGUGCGAAAGCGUGGGGAGCAAACAGG
rnacentral:rRNA from 1 species